GUAGACUCAGAGAAAACUUGCGAAGUUUAGGAUGGAGCUGAAGAGACUGGGUUCCGUCCUACGGUGGGAUUUCUUUCCGUGCUCGCGCGUUCAGCCCCAAGUCUCAGGGCCACUCGUCUGGGAAGUUGUAGAAUCUGUAUAGCCAACCUACACAACCUCCAAGGGGAACAGCCAGUGUCUGCCAGAUACACGCCACGCUUGCACCAGCUUGGAGGAAAUGUAAGGAGGGAAGAGAGGAGACGCUGACAUCAUUGAAUCUGGAGUCAUCUGAGCCAGUGACUUGUCUUCCCAGAUAGACUUCAACAAGGUGUCCAACUCAGUGGCCCACAGUAAAUGUCAAAUUAAUGAAGACAAAAUGGCAAUAAGGAAAAGGAGUUCCAGGCACUGUGACAGAUUUUUUUUUAAGGUUGCCUGUUUUAACACUGAAAACAAUCAGCAUGGUCUGAAAGAAGAUUGUCUAGAGGAAGAAAGGAAAAGAUAAUGAGAUUUUUUGCCACUGCCUUGAGGAUCCCUGAUUCCUAUUGAUUUUACCUGCCCUUGGACCUGUCCACCUCUAUCUUCACCUCCACCUCCCUGAUCCGGUCUCUAAUCAACUCUCACCUGGACAACAGAAAUGGCAGCCCAAAUUGUCUCCCACAUCCUGUCUUAAUCCCUCUGGUCUCUACUAAACUCUGCAGCCUGAGAGAA
rnacentral:lncRNA from 1 species